rnacentral:rRNA from 1 species
AGCGAACGCUGGCGGCAGGCCUAAAACAUGCAAGUCGAGCGCUCGUAGCAAUACGGGAGCGGCAGACGGGUGAGUAACACGUGGGAACGUACCCUUUGGUUCGGAACAACCCAGGGAAACUUGGGCUAAUACCGGAUAAGUCCGCAAGGAGAAAGAUUUAUCGCCGAAGGAUCGGCCCGCGUCUGAUUAGCUUGUUGGUGAGGUAACGGCUCACCAAGGCGACGAUCAGUAGCUGGUCUGAGAGGAUGAUCAGCCACACUGGGACUGAGACACGGCCCAGACUCCUACGGGAGGCAGCAGUUAGGAAUCUUGGACAAUGGGCGCAAGCCUGAUCCAGCCAUGCCGCGUGAGUGAUGAAGGCCCUAGGGUUGUAAAGCUCUUUCAGCGGGGAAGAUAAUGACGGUACCCGCAGAAGAAGCCCCGGCUAACUUCGUGCCAGCCGCCGCAGUAA